rnacentral:rRNA from 1 species
GAUGAACGCUGGCGGCGUGCUUAACACAUGCAAGUCGAACGGAAAGGCUCCUGCUUCCCUGGUUACUCGAGUGGCGAAGGUGUGUAUAACACGGGGGCGAUCUCCCCUGCACUGCGGAAUAUGCCUGGCAAUCUGCGACUAAUACCGGAUAGGUCGAUGGUUUGGAUGCCAUUGUUCAAAGUUUUUCAGUGUGGGAUGACCUCGCGGACUAUCAGCUGGUUGGUGGGGUAAUGGCUGACCAAGGCGUCGACGGGUAGCCGGCUUGAGAGGGUGUACGGCCACAUUGGGACUGAGAGACGGACCAGACGGCUACGGGAGGCAGCAGUGGGGAAUAUGGCACAAUGGGCGCAAGCCUGAUGCAGCGACGCCGCGUGGGGGAUGACGGCCUUCGGGUUGUAAACAGCUUUCGCUAGAGACGAAGCGCAAGUGACGGUACCUGGAGAAGAAGCACCGGCUAACUACGUG